AUAGGUGGGAUGGGCUGAGAAGGUUGGGAUGGGCUGAGAGGGUGGUCUAUGGUGAUAGGUGGAAUGGGCUGAGAAGGUUGGGAUGGGCUGAGAGGGUGGUCUAUGGUGAUAGGUGGGAUGGGCUGAGAAGGUUGGGAUGGGCUGAGAGGGUGGUCUAUGGUGAUAGGUGGAAUGGGCUGAGAAGGUUGGGAUGGGCUGAGAGGGUGGUCUAUGGUGAUAGGUGGGAUGGGCUGAGAAGGUUGGGAUGGGCUGAGAGGGUGGUCUAUGGUGAUAGGUGGAAUGGGCUGAGAAGGUUGGGAUGGGCUGAGAGGGUGGUCUAUGGUGAUAGGUGGGAUGGGCUGAGAAGGUUGGGAUGGGCUGAGAGGGUGGUCUAUGGUGAUAGGUGGAAUGGGCUGAGAAGGUUGGGAUGGGCUGAGAGGGUGGUCUAUGGUGAUAGGUGGGAUGGGCUGAGAAGGUUG